rnacentral:rRNA from 1 species
UAUCUCUGUAGAGUCUGCAUAUCAAUAAGCGGAGGAAAAGAAACUAACUAGGAUUCCCUCAGUAACGGCGAGUGAAGCGGGAAGAGCUCAAAUUUGAAAUCUUCAAGGUUCUACCUUGACGAAUUGUAGUUUAAAGAAGUGUUUUCUGUUGGAUGUUUUGGUAAAAGUUCUUUGGAAUAGGACAUCAUAGAGGGUGAGAAUCCCGUAUUUGACCAUUACUUCCAGCUUUGUGAUACACUUUCAAAGAGUCGGAUUGUUUGGGAAUGCAGUCCAAAAUGGGUGGUAAAUUUCAUCUAAAGCUAAAUAUUGGCGAGAGACCGAUAGCGAACAAGUACCGUGAGGGAAAGAUGAAAAGAACUUUGAAAAGAGAGUUAAACAGUACGUGAAAUUGUCAAAAGGGAAGCGUUUGACACCAGUGUUGUUUUCUCGAAAAUCAAUUAAAAAAGGCAGGAUUUUGUGUUGUAUUGACUUUAUCAGCUUUCUGCACUCUUUUCUUGUCUUUUUUAAUGCACUUUUCGUUUAACAAGUCAACAUCAAUUUCUCUUGUUGUAAAAGGGUCAUUGGAAGGUGGCUUUCUUUUCGGAGAAAGUGUUUAUAGCCUUUGGCCUCUGCAAUCGGAGAGAGUGAGGUCUGCAGCGUAGAUCCUUCGGGGUUAGAUACAUUUGUGCUAAGUUAUAGCCUUUCAUAGACAACUUGUUGACUAUGAUCAGUCAUGUAGCUUACUCGCUUAUGCUAUUUUACCUACGCUUAGGAUGUUGACGAUCAGCUGAGCGCG